AGGGGAGCUCUCAGCAGGUUGGCCAAGGGAAGCAGCCCUCAGCCCCCAGAAAACUUCGAUACCCCCCCACCCCGUUACCUGUGUCGGUCAGGGGCCCAUCAGGAGACAAAAAUCCCACCAGUUAGUUGAAAGAAGGAUAAAGAAUCUAUUAAAAAAAAAAAAAAGAAUCGAUAACUAGAUAUAUUGUUCCUGAGAUAAGAGAAGGGCGACGAGAGAAGGAAUGGCUCAGGCGUCAUGGGGUCUCGGCAAUGGCAGCCACCACGGCCAGCAGCUGGGGAAACCAGAGGAAGAGGCUAUAAUCACUAACCCUUAGACAUUUGGAGGAGGGACCCAGAGCCCUGGGGAGGAGGCUCUCAGCCGGAAGGAAGGUCCCCUGGGCUUGUGCCCAGACCUCUGAGGAAGGGGCACCUGCUGGCAGGGGCCGGAGUCUCUGGAGCUGGCAUGUGGGGUACACGGCGAGUGGUGAAGCUGGACAUACUGGAGAAGUGGCAUGCUGGAUUCAGCUUCGGGAGGGGCCUGCUGUGGGGUGAAAGGGGGAGGCGAUUGGGGUGCCUCUUACAGGGAACACACAGAAGGCAGGCGGUCACCGGUCCUCCUCCAGCCUGCAGCCUCCCACUAGUGGCUCCGGUUGCAAGGACCCAACUGGGAACAGCUGGUCAAGCAGAAACGGGAUUCACAGGGCCCAAGGCCACCUUCACAAAGCAGUGUCCAGAGGAUGGGGCUGGAGCUGAGAAGCCAGAAACUUCAAGUAUUAGUCACUGCAGGGUGGGAAGCUCUGGUCUUCCCGCCCCAGCUCUACUGAAAAGAGCAGUACCGAGCACAUGGGCAAUGCUCCUCAAAUAUCGCCUGGCCUCUGCCGUCCUUGAUUCCCCACCGUGUACAUGGGCAGGCCUUCCCGGACUGACUCUGGCUUCUCUUGAAAAGUUACCGACGUUCCCAGCCUCUGACGGCUGCAAGGAAUUUGUAUAACCGUGACGAUGAAAACAACAGUAAUGAGGAAAUAUUUAGCAAACCUUCAAGUGAGGAGAGCCAGCGCUGAAGGGUAUGUGGGAGAAGCUACUCUCAGUCACAAUGGUGGAGAUGGGAGUUACCCAGACUUCUGAGAAAGGGAUCUAGUAACAGCCAAGAAUUCCACAUAGAUUGGUGUUCUAUUAUAGCUUUGCUAUUCAAGGUGUGAUCUGCAUAUGAAGAGCACGGGCACCACCCAGGCGUCCCCUCGGUGAGCUGCAGAAUCACACACACACUGGCUGAUUUCUGUUUAUGUCGCAGCCUGACACCGCGGUGCUAAAACACGUGAGCUGGGACAAAGCUCUUGUCUACACUGGAGCAGCAUGCUUUCUCCCUCUGCCCCCUCUUCCUGCCGGUGUGGAACACCCUUGAGGGCUGAAGAACCCAGAAGAACCCGACUGGGUGCUGGGAUCUAGAGGGUCCAGGAGAAGGCUCUCCACCUCCCCGCCUCGUGGUCUAGCAGAGCUGAAGCAAGGACAGCACAGCGGGGUCCUUCACCAUGGGGAGCAGAGGUGAACAGGACUUCAGAGCUGGGAGGCUCCUUGGGGGACGAGGCCGGGGCAGAUGAAGUGGCUUCACCCUGGCCCAGAGGGGCUAACAACCCUCCAGGUGGGGCUGGAACCCGGGUCUCCUGGCCUGUG